rnacentral:rRNA from 1 species
CGUAGGUGGCAAGCGUUGUCCGGAAUUAUUGGGCGUAAAGGGCGCGUAGGCGGUCCCUUAAGUCAGAUGUGAAAUCCCGAGGUCUUAACCUCGGGCGUGCAUUUGAAACUGGGGGACUAGAGUGCAGGAGAGGUAAGUGGAAUUCCUAGUGUAGCGGUGAAAUGCGUAGAUAUUAGGAGGAACACCAGUGGCGAAGGCGACUUACUGGACUGUAACUGACGCUGAGGCGCGAAAGCGUGGGGAGCAAACAGGAUU